AUGCCCUAAUCACCAGAACCUGUGAAUAUGUUGUGUAGCGAAGGGGAAUCAGGAUGGCAGAUGAAAUUACUGUAGUUAUCAGCUGACACUGAGAACAGGAGAUUGGCUGGGAUUACCCAGGGGGAUGCAAUUUAAUCACAAGCUUUCUUAAAAGUAGGAGGAGGCAGAAGAGAUGCAGAGAGAUUGUUGUGUCAGGAAGUCCAGUUCCUGCACUCCUGGCUUUGAAGAUGAGGGGAGCCCAGCCAAGGGAGCAAAUGACCUGUAAAAGUUGGAAAAGAACCACUGUUCUGGAAUGUUGAAGCUAGAUGUUGAAACAGAAACUCCAAUACUUUGGCCACCUGAUGCGAAGAGCUAACUCAUUGGAAAAGACCCUGAUGCUGGGAAAGAUUGAGGCAGGAGGUGAAGGGGACGACAGAGGAAUUAGAGGUGAAUCUUGGAGAAGGCAAUGGCACCCCACUCCAGUACUCCUGCCUGGAAAAUCCCAUGGACGGAGGAGCCUGGAUAUCAGGACAUACAACGAAACAAGAGGGAUACAAGUGCACAGAGGGGAUGCAUGUGAGGAGACGGUGAGAAGACAGCCACUGGAAAACCAAGGAGAGAAGCUUCAAGAGGAACCAGACCUGUCCACACUUGAUCUGGGACUUCUAGCCUCCAGAAGCAUGAGAAAGCAAAUCUCUGUUAAAUCACCCAGUCUGUUAUAUUUUGAUAUGGCAGCCCUAGCCAAUCAAUACGUUCCCCUCUCCUUUCUUGUUCUUUUAAAAUUAAAUCUACAGUCUUACCACUGGGGAAUAUCAUGACAAAGCAUUUGAUAUCGGGAGUUGAUGAGUUGUUAUUUAAAGGACCCUCUAAUGUGCCAUUCCCUGGAAGUUGUUGAUUACAGUUAAAUUCACUUAGGGGAACAUUGAACGUGGGAUCAUGUUUGUGGCCUUCAUUCUAGCAAAGCUCUCCUAAGGGAGCUGUGAGACUUAAGCCCUGACUAAGGGCCUCCUUGGUGGCUCAGAUGGUAAAGAAUCUGCCUGCAAUGCAGGAGACCCGGGUUUGAUCCCUGGGUUGGGAAGAUCCCCUGGAGAAGGGAAUGGCUACCCACUCCAGUAUUCUUGCCUGGGGAAUUCCAUACACAGAGGAGCCUGAUGGACUAUAGUGCAUGGGGCUGCAAGAAGGCAUACACAUCUGAGAGACUAACACAGUAAGAGUUGUACCACCCAGAGCCCUGCAGUGGGGCCCUGGGAUGGUCUAAUAAUUGCUAACAUGACUCCUUCAAUAAUUAAUGAUUCAGUUGUUUUAAAUGCCUUAAUACAUAAAAGCUCACAUGUGGUGUCAGAUCUCCAAAUUAUAACACAAAAUAGAUGUUUUGCAGUAACUUAUAUGGAAUUAAUUCCAUCCUAGAGUUCUUGUAGAAAUUAGAAGUCAUUUAAAGACUGAGCUCUGAUGGUUAUGUGUCACUAGACUCCCUCUGUGGAACCAUUUCCUUGUAAAUUUUUGUAAUCCAUUUGUAUUCUGUACACAUGUGGUCUCUUGACGGCUUUGGUGGUUCUUAAUUGCACUUCUCAUAGGCAAUCCCAAUGGUAGGUUCCUUUCAACUAAACUAGUAGUGAUGUGCCAUCAAGCACAAAAACAAAAACAAACAAACAGAAAAAAAAACUGGUUGAUUUAAUUAUUAAUGGUAAAUGUCCUUCUAGCUUCUUCCAAGAAAGCGAAAGCACAUCACUUGACUAAUAAGCCUUUUCAGUAAUGAAAUAUAAUUUUACUUGGUCAAGUUAUUCUCCUAAAGUUUUAGUUCUUAUUUAUGGAUUCUUAAUCUCAGGUGCUUGGGAUUGGCUUUAUCACCCUCUUCAUUUUCUGGAGUUCUACUAUUGAUCUCCCAAAGAACUUGUGCCUUUUAAGGGUUUUUGUUUUAAUUAUUCUCCAUAUUUCUCACUCGUGUCCCUCUUCACUUUUUGAAAAUGUUCCAAAGUAAUUUUUUUAAAAAAAUCUAUUUCCCAGAUUUAUUGAGAUGUAAUUGACAUACAAUUGUAUAAUUUUAAUAUAUACAAUGUAAAGAUUUUAUAUAUGUAUAUAUUGCAAAAUGAUUACCACAAUAAAGUAGUUAACACAUCCAUCACCUCACAUAAUUACAAUGUCUUGUGUGUAUGAUCAGGGUUUAAUUUAUUCUCUUGGCAACUCUCAAAUAUGCAUCACAGUAUUAUUAACUGUGCUUGCCAUGUUGUACAGUAUAGCCC
ensembl:lncRNA